GAUUAGAGAAGGAUUAGGACUCCUUAAUUAACCCAAAUCACGUCCCAGACCGUCCGAUCAAGACCGGGAGCUCUCUGGGCCCUUAGAUCGCGCUCCGGUCCACGGAAUAGUGCCGUGGACCGCGAGAAAUGCGUGGGAAAUGCCCACGCGGUCCACAGACCGCGCCGUGGACCACCCGGUCCACGGUGGAUCGGGACAAGGGCCAGCAGGCCGCUGGGUCGCGCGUCCCGCGCGGGCCUGGGCCUGGGUCGCGCGUCCCGCGCGGGCCUGGGCCUGGGACGCGCGUCCCGCGC
rnacentral:lncRNA from 1 species